UACGGGGGGGGCAAGCGUUGUUCGGAAUUACUGGGCGUAAAGGGCGCGUAGGUGGCCAACUAAGUCAGACGUGAAAUCUCCCGGCUUAACCGGGAGGGUGCGGCGGAAACUGGAGUGCUUGAGGGUGGGAGAGGUAAGCGGAAUUCCUGGUGUAGCGGUGAAAUGCGUAGAUAUCAGGAGGAACACCUGUGGUGUAGACAGCUUACUGGACCACUUCUGACGCUGAGACACGAAAGCGUGGGUAGCAAACAGG
rnacentral:rRNA from 1 species